UCCACAUCUCAGUGGGUUUAGCCCAACACUGACAUCCUUUUCUGGCCCCUGCCUUGAAUGCUCUUGCUUUACCCUCUAAAAUGAACCUCAUCUUUCACCUGAUUAUUGAGUUCCUCCACUAUUACUUAAACUUGAAUAUCCAUGUUUAUCUCUUGCCAACCAUAUCAGUCCCUGUGGGGCUGAGUUUCUGAGUUUCUAGUGCCAGAGGCUGUCCCAGAGAUAGACACCUGUUCCUGAAAAUGGUCCAGUUCCUGGGACCUGCUCCCUGCCACCAGGGCACCACUUGCCUGCAGGAUCUCUCAACAUCAUUUCCUCACAGCUUGUCCUUGGGUUCCAACAGCUGUUGGUUACACCACCUCUUUCUGUAGCCACAACCUUCACAGACCUCAUUGUUUCCCAGACUGUACCUGCUUUUAGCAAAGGUCUCUCAAUGUGUUCUGUUCAGGUGUCUGUCCCAUUUAGGUAGGUAUGCUUAGUCCCAGGUUCUGAUCCUCAUGGUUUGUCCUAUCUGACCAGUAGCCAGGUCAUGCAAGCCACAUCCAAGACAGAGGCGUACAGAGAAAUUAUUUCCAGUCUUGGCUUUUCUACUAAUUAGCUGAGUGGCCCCAGGCAAGUCAAGUGACCUCCCUGAGCCUCCUCUCUUAACCUCAGAAUGCAUGACGUGCACAAUGGCUAUUAGAUUAAUGCUAUGGAGUCACCGUCUUUAACAUUGACAUCGAAAAACCUGAAUACAGCUUGUGAUGGUUCGAUGCAGAAAAUGUUCCUGCCGGACAGAGCUAACAGAAGGGACAGUUGAACCAGAUUGUUGACAAUGGCUGCACUUUGAAUAGUGGCAAAAAGGAAUUACAAUGACUUGCCCACCAAUGUUCACAGCGGCAUUAUUCACAACAGACAAAAGGCGGAAACAGCCCUGGUGUCCAUCAACAGGAAUGGAGAAACAAAAUGUGGUCUGUACCUUCAGUGGAAUACUACUGAUCCUUAAUAAGAAUGAAGUGCUGAUACAUUCUAGACCAUGAGGAACCUUGAAGACAUUAUGCUAAGCGAAAGAAGCCAGACCCAAGAGGACAAAUACCAUACGAUUCUAUUUAUAUGAGGUACCUGAAAUCGGCAAAUUCGCCGAGACAGUAGAAUAGAGGCCCCCGGGGGUGAGGGAAGGGGGAGUGGGGAGUUAUUGUUUAGCAGGUACGGAAUUUCUGCUUGGGAUGGUGAAAUAGUUCUGGAAAUGGAUAGUGGUGAUGAUGGCACAAUAUUGUGAAUGUACCUCAAGCCACUAAAUUCUGGGGAGC